GUCCAUUUGAUGAGUUUAAAAUAGAACAAAACGCGCGUCCUGGAU
rnacentral:hammerhead_ribozyme from 1 species